UCUCUUACCCAUGUCUUUUGCGUACUUAACGUUUCCUCGGCAGGUCCGCCUGCCGUAGGACAAUUAUAAACCAUUUGCAGUUGCAGUCAGCGUCUGAAAAACAUAAUAAUUACAACUUUUAACAACGGAUCUCUUGGUUCUGGCAUCGAUGAAGAACGCAGCGAAAUGCGAUAAGUAGUGUGAAUUGCAGAAUUCAGUGAAUCAUCGAAUCUUUGAACGCACAUUGCGCCCCUUGGUAUUCCAUGGGGCAUGCCUGUUCGAGCGUCAUUUGUACCUUCAAGCUCUGCUUGGUGUUGGGUGUUUGUCCCGCCUUUGUGCGCGGACUCGCCUUAAAGCAAUUGGCAGCCGGCGUAUAGAUUUCGGAGCGCAGCACAAUCCGCGCUUUGUACUCAUUACGACGACAUCCAUCAAGACAUUUUUUAACUCUUGACCUCGGAUCAGGUAGGGAUACCCGC
rnacentral:rRNA from 1 species